UACGUAGGGGGCAAGCGUUGUCCGGAUUUAUUGGGCGUAAAGAGCGUGUAGGCGGUUAGGUAGGUCCGUUGUGAAAACUCGAGGCUCAACCUCGAGACGCCGAUGGAAACCAUCUAACUAGAGUCCGGAAGAGGAGAGUGGAAUUCCUGGUGUAGCGGUGAAAUGCGCAGAUAUCAGGAAGAACACCCGUGGCUAAGGCGGUUCUCUGGGCCUUACCUGACGCUGAGGAGCGAAAGCGUGGGGAGCGAACAGG
rnacentral:rRNA from 1 species